rnacentral:rRNA from 1 species
GAUGAACGCUGGCGGCGUGCCUAAUACAUGCAAGUCGAGCGAACAGAUGAGGAGCUUGCUCCUCUGACGUUAGCGGCGGACGGGUGAGUAACACGUGGAUAACCUACCUAUAAGACUGGGAUAACUUCGGGAAACCGGAGCUAAUACCGGAUAAUAUAUUGAACCGCAUGGUUCAAUAGUGAAAGACGGUUUUGCUGUCACUUAUAGAUGGAUCCGCGCCGCAUUAGCUAGUUGGUAGGUAACGGCUUACCAAGGCAACGAUGCGUAGCCGACCUGAGAGGGUGAUCGGCCACACUGGAACUGAGACACGGUCCAGACUCCUACGGGAGGCAGCAGUAGGGAAUCUUCCGCAAUGGGCGAAAGCCUGACGGAGCAACGCCGCGUGAGUGAUGAAGGUCUUCGGAUCGUAAAACUCUGUUAUUAGGGAAGAACAAAUGUGUAAGUAACUAUGCACGUCUUGACGGUACCUAAUCAGAAAGCCACGGCUAACUACGUG